rnacentral:rRNA from 1 species
AUUGAACGCUGGCGGCGUGCUUAACACAUGCAAGUCGUGCGGUAACAGGCGUAGCAAUACGUGCUGACGAGCGGCGAACGGGUGCGUAAUACAUGGGAAUCUGCCCUUUAGUGGGGAAUAACCCGGCGAAAGCCGGGCUAAUGCCGCAUAAGAUCUUCGGAUGAAAGCGGGGGAUCGUAAGACCUCGCGCUGAUGGAUGAGCCCAUGCCGGAUUAGCAGUUGGUGAGGUAACGGCUCACCAAGGCGACGAUCCGUAGCUGGUCUGAGAGGACGGCCAGCCACACUGGGACUGAGACACGGCCCAGACUCCUACGGGAGGCAGCAGUGGGGAAUAUUGGACAAUGGGGAAACCCUGAUCCAGCGACGCCGCGUGUGUGAAGAAGGCCUGCGGGUUGUAAAGCAC